UAAUUAGAAGAAACCCUAAUUACUGUUGUACGUCGAUAAUUAGGACAAACCCUAAUUAUUAUAACCCUAACCGGUUGAAAUUAGAAACCGUAACGACUGUGUUAGUAACAUACACAGAUAAUUAAAGAACCAAUAAUGGUCAAUUAGAAACCCUAAUUGAUGACGUUGAGAAACCCUAAUUUUAAUUACCGGGUUUAAUUUCGAUGUUACUGUAUAAGUGUUUUAAUUUACCAAAGGAUAGAAGUUAAUUGGUAAAUUAUAAGAAUUAAAUCUAGUGAUUAAAUAUUACAUUUAAUUGCCUUGUACAAGAUUGCCCAUACACUCUUAAAAAAAACCCAAC
rnacentral:lncRNA from 1 species